rnacentral:rRNA from 1 species
UCUAUUGCGGUGAAUCACAGUAACUGAUCGAAUCCUCAAAUUUGAGGAUGAAUCAUUCAAGUUUCUGCCCUAUCAGCUUUCGAUGGUAGUGUAUUGGACUACCAUGGCAGUAACGGGUAACGGAGAAUUAGGGUUCGGUUCCGGAGAGGGAGCCUGAGAAACGGCUACCACAUCUAAGGAAGGCAGCAGGCGCGUAAAUUACCCAAUGCAGAUUCUGCGAGGUAGUGACAAUACAUAACAACCUGGGGCCUCACGGCUUACGGGAUUGCAAUGAGAACAAUUUAAAAACCUUAACGAGGAACAAGUGGAGGGCAAGUCUGGUGCCAGCAGCCGCGGUAAUUCCAGCUCCACUAGCGUAUAUUAAAGUUGUUGCAGUUAAAAAGCUCGUAGUUGAACUUCUGGUUGCGCGGCGUUUCGGUUUCGAUCGGGCGGACAGCGCAGCCAUCCGUCUGUGAACUAUUACAGCCUUUACUGGUUUGUCUUAGGGAGCAGGCAAUUUACUUUGAAAAAAUUAGAGUGUUUAAGGCAGGCGCUCGCCUGAAUACAUUAGCAUGGAAUAAUGGAAUAGGACGCUUGUCCAUUUGGUUGGUUAUUGGACUCGCGUAAUGAUUAAUAGGGACAGUUGGGGGCAUUAGUAUUUAAUUGU